rnacentral:rRNA from 1 species
CCUACGGGGGGCAGCAGUGGGGGAUAUUGCACAAUGGGGGGAACCCUGAUGCAGCGACGCCGCGUGGGUGAAGAAGCGCCUCGGCGCGUAAAGCCCUGUCAGCAGGGAAGAAAAUGACGGUACCUUAAGAAGAAGCCCCGGCUAACUACGUGCCAGCAGCCGCGGUAAUACGUAGGGGGCAAGCGUUAUCCGGAUUUACUGGGUGUAAAGGGGGCGCAGACGGCGAUGCAAGCCAGGAGUGAAAGCCCGGGGCCCAACCCCGGGACUGCUCUUGGAACUGCGUGGCUGGAGUACAGGAGGGGCAGGCGGAAUUCCUGGUGUAGCGGUGAAAUGCGUAGAUAUCAGGAGGAACACCGGUGGCGAAGGCGGCCUGCUGGACUGCAACUGACGUUGAGGCCCGAAAGCGUGGGGAGCAAACAGGAUUAGAUACCCUUGUAGUC